UAGUUGCCCUGGAGAAAGAAGCUGAAGAAUGGACCAGACGGGCUGAAGAAGCUGUUGUCUCUAUUCAAGAUAUCACAGUGAAUUAUUUUAAUUAGACAGUAAAAGCAUUAGCAGGAAUGCAAAAAGAAAUGGAACAGGAUGUGAAGAGAUUUGGCCAGGCUGCCUGGGCCACAGCAAUUCCCAGGUUGGAAAAACUUAAGCUAAUGCUAGCUC
ensembl:lncRNA novel transcript